GAUGAACGCUGGCGGCGUGCCUAACACAUGCAAGUCGAACGGAGUUUAGCGCUGAUGAAGCUUCGGCAGAAUCUUGUUAAACUUAGUGGCGGACGGGUGAGUAACGCGUGGGUAACCUGCCUCAUACAGGGGGAUAGCAGUUGGAAACGACUGAUAACACCGCAUAAGCGCACGGUAUCGCAUGAUACAGUGUGAAAAUAUUUAUAGGUAUGAGAUGGACCCGCGUCUGAUUAGCUAGUUGGUGAGGUAACGGCCCACCAAGGCGACGAUCAGUAGCCGGCCUGAGAGGGCGGACGGCCACAUUGGGACUGAGACACGGCCCAAACUCCUACGGGAGGCAGCUAGUGGGGGAUAUUGCACAAUGGGCGAAAGCCUGAUGCAGCGACGCCGCGUGAGUGAAGAAGUAUUUCGGUAUGUAAAGCUUCUAUCAGCAGGGAAGGAAAGACCUCGUAAGAGG
rnacentral:rRNA from 1 species